GGUUUUCCCUGGAGUGGGCUCUAGGUAGACAUUAUGGCAGAUUCUGCUGGGGCCACAGCUCAAGUCCAGGCUCACCAGGGACAGCAUCUUCAGGACUCAGAAAAGCCAGGGAGAAAGGCAAGACAGAAGUUUUCCCGGACCUGUUCGAUAGAAGGAUCUGGACGACCUCACCUGGCAGAUGAGUGACGGGCAUCCGAGCCACAUCUUUCCCUAUUCUCUGAGGCCUAUGACUUCUCUUUCCCUCUCCUCAGCAGCCCUCUACUUUGAGUUCAUUGUGAAGGCCACCCCUUCUGGUGGGGGAAAGAGCACAGACCAGCAGCCGAGUAAUUCUGUUUUCCAUGUCAUCUGUUAACAUGGCGCACCAUCUGUCAGGUCUACCGACUCUCAGCCUCCCACCCUCUCCCAGAGGCCAGAUUGGGGGAGGAGGCCAUCUCCCAGAGUCUUGGAGACCCUUCCACUCAAAGGCCUCAGAACACUCACAGAAAGAGCAGGACUACAAGAUGAAGAAGAUGAGUUCCUGGGCUGAAAAGAUGGCUCAGUCACCAAAAUGUCUGCCAUAAAGGUGUGAGGGCCUGAGUCUAUCUUCCUCAAAGCCAGAGUGGUGCCUGCAAGAUGGCUCCAUGGGUAAAGGUGCUUGCAAAAGUCUGGUGAACUGGGCUGGAUCUCCAGAAUCCACAUACAGAUGGAAGGAGAGAACUUCUAAUCUCCACAUACACACUGAGGCAUGUCCACAACAAAGAAUCAAAUGAAUACAUGUGAAGAAAGAA